UGGAUUAGCGGCGAACGGGUGAGGAACACGUGAAGAAUCUGCCCUCCACUUUGGGAUAACACCGGGAAACCGGUGCUAAUACCGAAUAUUGAAACAUAAGUGGCAUCACUGAGUUUUGAAAGAAUUUCGGUGGAGGAUGACUUCGCGGCCUAUCAGCUAGUUGGUGAGGUAAUGGCUCACCAAGGCAACGACGGGUAGCCGGCCUGAGAGGGCGACCGGCCACACUGGGACUGAGACACGGCCCAGACUCCUACGGGAGGCAGCAGUGGGGAAUAUUGGGCAAUGGAGGAAACUCUGACCCAGCGACGCCGCGUGCGGGAUGAAGGCCUUCGGGUUGUAAACCGCUUUCAGUAGGGAAGAAGCGAAAGUGACGGUACCUACAAAAGAAGCACCGGCUAACUAUGUGCCAGCAGCCGCGGUAAUACAUAGGGUGCAAGCGUUGUCCGGAAUUAUUGGGCGUAAAGAGCUCGUAGGUCGUUUGUUACGUCGGAUGUGAAAACCUGAGGCUCAACCUCAGGCCUGCAUUCGAUACGGGC
rnacentral:rRNA from 1 species